AGGCUGACAAAAAAUAAAUUUUCUUAUUAUUAAACUGAAAUUAAUAUAUAAAUAAAAAAGUUUAUUAUUGUUAAAUAGACGACAAGACCCUAAAACCUUAAAUAAUAUAUACAUUUUUUUACUGGGGUGGUAAAUUAUAUAAACAUAACUUACAUUAACAUAAUGGAUGGGUAUAACUAACUUAUAAAAUAUAAAAAAAGGUACUUUAGGGAUAACAGCAUAAUUUUUAUUUAGAGUAUCUUAUCGACAUAAAAGAUUAUGACCUCGAUGUUGAAUUGAUUAAUUUUACUAAGCAGCCAUAGUAAAUAAUAGGUCUGUUCGACCUAUAAUGCAUCCCAUGAUCUGAGUUCAAACCGGA
rnacentral:rRNA from 1 species